GGAUCCCAGGAUUAAUUUCAAGAAUCAGCUCACGGUAGACAGAUUGGAAAAGAAUCACGAGUUAAAUUACGAACCCGGAGAUGACAUCCCGACUGUCAAUAUGUAUGUUUAUGCCGCUGGUACAUUCAAGGAAAUCUUAGAGUUGGGUGAUUUUCCAUUUGAUUACCAGAGUUUAUCCGUACAAAUUGAUUCAGACUGGCCUGACAACAUUAUGUCGUUUGAAAAAAACAAUGAAAUAAAAGACAGUG